GAUGAACGCUGGCGGCGUGCUUAACACAUGCAAGUCGAACGAAGCACUUUAUUUGAUUUCCUUCGGGACUGAUUAUUUUGUGACUGAGUGGCGGACGGGUGAGUAACGCGUGGGUAACCUGCCUUGUACAGGGGGAUAACAGUUGGAAACGGCUGCUAAUACCGCAUAAGCGCACGGCAUCGCAUGAUGCAGUGUGAAAAACUCCGGUGGUAUAAGAUGGACCCGCGUUGGAUUAGCUAGUUGGUGAGGUAACGGCCCACCAUGGCGACGAUCCAUAGCCGACCUGAGAGGGUGACCGGCCACAUUGGGACUGAGACACGGCCCAAACUCCUACGGGAGGCAGCAGUGGGGAAUAUUGCACAAUGGGCGAAAGCCUGAUGCAGCGACGCCGCGUGAGCGAAGAAGUAUUUCGGUAUGUAAAGCUCUAUCAGCAGGGAAGAUAAUGACGGUACCUGACUAAGAAGCACCGGCUAAAUACGUG
rnacentral:rRNA from 1 species